rnacentral:rRNA from 1 species
GACGGAGGGUGCAAGCGUUGUUCGGAUUCAUUGGGCGUAAAGGGUGCGUAGGCGGCGGGGCAAGUCGGAUGUGAAAUCUCAGGGCUCAACCCUGAAACUGCAUUCGAUACUGCCUUGCUCGAGGACUGGAGAGGAGAUUGGAAUUCACGGUGUAGCAGUGAAAUGCGUAGAUAUCGUGAGGAAGACCAGUGGCGAAGGCGGAUCUCUGGACAGUUCCUGACGCUGAGGCACGAAGGCCAGGGGAGCGAACGGG